rnacentral:rRNA from 1 species
UACGAAGGGGGCUAGCGUUGCUCGGAAUCACUGGGCGUAAAGGGUGCGUAGGCGGGUCUUUUAAGUCAGGGGUGAAAUCCUGGAGCUCAACUCCAGAACUGCCUUCGAUACUGGAGAGCUUGAGUCCGGGAGAGGUGAGUGGAACUGCGAGUGUAGAGGUGAAAUUCGUAGAUAUUCGCAGGAACACCAGUGGCGAAGGCGGCUUACUGGUCCAUAACUGACGCUGAGGUGCGAAAGCGUGGGGAGCAAACAGG